AAAAAGACAAACCCUGGUUUCCGUGCCCAAUGUUUGACCGUCCGUCUUAUUUGAAAAAAUUAUGAAAAAAAUUAAAAAGACAAGUCACGCACAAAGUAUUAAUCAUGUUUUAUCAUCUAACAACAAUAAAAAUACGAAUUAUAAAAAAAUUUCAUAUAAGACGGACAGUCAAAGCCUUUUUUUGCCUUUUUU
rnacentral:pre_miRNA from 1 species